AGAGCAAGACUCCAUCUCAGAAAAAAAAAAAAAAAAAAAAAAAAAAUCAGAAUCCUAAAAACAUAUUAAGAAGGUUUUAUUUCUAACCUUAUUAUUUUGCAGGUGAGGAAACUGAGGCACAACAAUGUUAAGUAAUGAAGCCAGAUUUGAACCUGGACAAUCUGACUGCAGAAUCAGUGCUCUUAACCAUUGUUUCUUAUUUAGCUUGCUACAUGGCAUAAGGCUCUUAAAGAUAGUGACAUGAUGCAGGGUUUCUCAGGAUACAAUCUAUAGACAGCAUUGGAACAGCAGAUGUUGCAAAUGAGAAAGUCAAACUGAGUUAAGCACACCUCCAAACCUACAGGUGAGGCACUAAGCUCUGUGGUUUCCAAAUCAUCGAAUGCUAGAGCUGAAGAGGGCCUCAGAGAGCAAGACUCCAGUCAAGGAAGAAAAAGCCAGACCAGAAACAAUAAAAAGAAAACGAGCAAACAAAGGAGUCACAAAGAAACAGAACUGUGGCAAAUGACGCAUUAGACGAAGACCAGCAAUUCCACCCACAGAGGAGAUACCAGCGGGCCAAGUGUGAGUCAGAAGGGACUGGUGAGGACUUGCGCACCAGUGAGCCUACAGGGAGGGGCCUGCCAUGUGGAAACAGGAGCUGUGCCUCAGCUCCUGCCAUGUGGAAACAGAGGCCCACCAUUGCCAGGUUCCCAAUUUUUCAAAAAAAGCCAGAUAUUCACAUUUUGUGUGAAAAUUCCUGUUCUUGAAAGUUGGCAACUAAUUCAAAUCUGAGCUUAGGGGUAACCCCAGCCAGGCUAGCCCUAUCAGGACAAGGACAAAGGUGUUCCUGUUUUUGGCUGUAUCCCCAUAUGUCUGGCAUAUGGACUUUCAAUAAAUAUCUGUUGAAUGAAUUAACUAAAAUGAUUAAAAUACAACUUAAAUGUAGUUCAAAAGAUAAGGCUUCCUGACAGAAUAGCAAAAUUUGACAGUCACCCCAAACCCUGGGCUUUGUGAAAUCCCAAAUUGCUGUGGAACCUGGCUGAAGAAGGAGGACUUCGUAAGGAGAGAUGGAGAAAGAAGUUUAACUGGAGCUUAAAAAUAAAAUGGCUCAGGAGCCCUCAUAUACAACCAAAA
rnacentral:lncRNA from 1 species